GAUGAACGCUGGCGGCGUGCCUAACACAUGCAAGUCGAACGAACCUUGGGGAACAGAUUACUUCGGUUUGAAGUUCCCCGCUGGUUAGUGGCGGACGGGUGAGUAACGCGUGGGUAACCUGCCGUAUGCAGGGGGAUAACAGUUAGAAAUGACUGCUAAUACCGCAUAAGCGCACAGUAUCGCAUGAUACAGUGUGAAAAACGAUAGUGGCAUACGAUGGACCCGCGUCUGAUUAGCUAGUUGGCGGGGUAACGGCCCACCAAGGCGACGAUCAGUAGCCGGCCUGAGAGGGUGAACGGCCACAUUGGAACUGAGACACGGUCCAAACUCCUACGGGAGGCAGCAGUGGGGGAUAUUGCACAAUGGGGGGAAACCCUGAUGCAGCGACGCCGCGUGAGUGAAGAAGUAUUUCGGUAUGUAAAGCUCUAUCAGCAGGAAAGAUAAUGACGGUACCUGACUAAGAAGCACCGGCUAAAUACGUG
rnacentral:rRNA from 1 species